UUUUUGACAAUUUGGCCUUUACACCCUCUUGCAUUAAUGUUUUUCUCUCCCUUGUAAUCCCUUGAUUUCUUCCUGCUUUCUUUUAUCUUAGCUGUUCUAGGGAAGGCUUGAGAGCUUUUUUUGGAUUAGACUAGUUGGAAGGUAAUAUUGUCUGAAAAUAAAUGCCUAAAUAAAUGUGUAAGAACAAGCUAAGUGUUUGUUAUGCUUCUUUCAGGUACAUCACCUAUUUGCAACACAGGAACUCCCUAAAUUUGCCUUUCCAGACUUUAGAGUGUACUGAGAGUCUUGGACUCCAUGUUCCCUGAUGAUUACCAAAGCGAGACUGCCGGAAGAGGGGAGCAUGCUGGCAGAGCCACGCCUCACCUGAGUGACUUGAAGAAGCUGGAGAGUCAUGGAGCUGGGAUGAGUUCCUUAGGCUAGACAACAAACAUUACAAAUGCCAUGCCAUAUGCAAUAUCACUAUACAUAAUAUGUAAAUUGAAAAAAACAGAUGUUGCAAAGCAAGCUGUCAGUAUGGUAGAACCAAGUUAUUGUUUUUGCAGCUAUUAAUCAACCUGCUUCUGUAUAUUCAUUCCAACAAAUGUGCCUGACAUUGACUUCACCUGGGAGACCUGUAGGAGAGCUGGGGCUGACAGCUCUCCUGGAUUUGCCAGUGCCAGAAAGACAGCGAUCAUAUUGUCUGGUGUUCUGCAUCAUGCAGUGGGUGUUAAAUUUUGUGUGGUUAAAAAUCUUAAAAUGUAUGGGAGAUGGUCAGCUUUCUUGUUUUAUUCAAAGUCUGGUUUCCAUCAUGAAAGCCUGCGAAACUUGAAGGAUAUAGGUUCCGGUCACAAGAAUGCAAAGCAGUGAUCUAUUGUGUCUUUUCUUCUUUGUGCUCUGGAGUUUAACCAGCACACUAGUCUAAUAUUCUCUUGCUUGCUAGUGGCAGUUUCUGUUUCUUUUUUGUUUUGGUUUUUUUUGGUAGUGGUAGUCAUUAGAUUUUCUCCCAAGAGAAUUACUGCCAAAGUAAACAAACAUCUUCAUGGAAGGAAAAUAAUGUCUAGAGUAUUCAGAAUUCCAUGUUUUACAGAUGAGUAUUUGUGGCAACCAACUAGCGAAUUAAAGUGAAUGAAAUCCUUUUUCUAGUUUGCUACUUUUGCUGUGCUAAUUGAAUGUGACAAUUUCUGCUAGCUUCUCAGCUCUGCAGUGCAAGUACUGGAUGCCAGUUAUAAUUUAAGAUUAAGAAAAAUAUGAGAUGAAACUUGGUUUAAAAAAAGAUUUUAUUUUUUAUUUUUAUUGGUGGGAAUUGAAUAGUACAUGUAAACCUCCAAGGAAUUGCUGUUGUCUCUAAAGUGUUCUGCAUGUGGUUGGCAAGAAAAACAAGGAGAGAGGAAAGUUCAGCUAAAAAAUUCAUAAAGGCUGUCUGGUGGAAUGCAUUACAGUCAUCUGUAUACCUCUGUGCUCUUAUCCCUCUGAACUGAUAAUUUUUAGCUGAGAUGAAACGUUCUGACAAACAGGAGGCUGGCAGAUUUGCAGCAUAGAUUGUUUGAAGGUUUAAAUACUGUGACUAUCUCAGCUUACUGCAAGUCUGUAGAUAUAAUGUAAGCUGGAGUUGCUGAAAAGUGAUAGAAUAGCUCAUAUGAACAGCCAAAAAACCCUGUAAAGAGCUUUUAUUGUGUGCUUCAGAAUUCUGCAGUCUUUCUCUAUCUUUCUACAGGAUAGCAAUAAUUCACCAGUAGAGCAGAGACACUUCAAAUUUGUUGACGAUGAGACCAUAUCUAGUUCUUUGUUUAGGCAAAGGCUUUCACAAAGGGGACCAGUGGUAACUGGGAGCUGCUGCCAACACCAUCAUAUGUUUCUUGACAAAUGCAAAGUGUUCAAAAAGUUGGCACUACAAAAUAGAGAUACUGUCAAUCUUUGUUUAAUUCUCAAAAUGGCUUUUAAGCUUUUAAAGCUUGUGUUGUUGCUGGCACACUUGCAUAUCAGAUAACAUUUUUGACAGUCCUUAUAAUAUGGCUGGUUAAUUUGGUCACAUUACUAGAACAUAAACCAAAAUUCUGUGAGUGCUAAGAUUUUACUGCUGGUUUUUCCUACGUGCCAUGAGCAGAAGAAGGGUAUGUUCAGCAGUGUGUGCUACUAUAGCCAGAACACAGUAUUUUCUUAUCUCCUUUUCUCUGCACCAUGCAGAUGCAGCUGCCACUGUUUAUCAAACAUGAAGGUGUUGUUCACAGCUCUGUGAGUAAGUUUGGGUUUUGCUUUACAUAAUGCAGGAGACAUCUCUACUAAUUGCACAAAUGUUCAGCCCAUAUUUAUGUACUGGAUAUUGUGGUGUAGGAGGCAAAUUAAAAUUUUAAGGUAUUAUUUCUGUGAUCAUUGGCUAGGUCUCCAGAAGCUCAUGGACCUGGAUUUUGCUGGGAAUAACUGUGUGGUGCUUCCAGUUAUAGAAUAAUCUGUUCUGAAGGGUGGAAUACUCCAGUGUGAAUGCAUGUAGAUGAGGUAGGAGACCCAAGGAAACUCUGUAAAUUUUUGGGCAAGGAGGCUUUGAAGUAGCAGUCAUGAGUCCUGCAGGUAGCCCUGAUCUCAGGUGCAGCAGGAGGAAGCAAGUGUCUGUAGCUACUAGGUCUGCCCCCCUGGAGGAAGUGUACAGAUCAUGUAGCAACUUAAACAGAAGGAGUAUAUGUUUGUACCUCAGCAGGCUAUUAAAAAAGUGCUUUCAACUGCUACAAGAAAAUUUAUUAAAGCUUACUUAUUAAACUCAAAGCAAUAGAAGAACAGGUUCCCCUUCUGAACCAUAGCAUCUGUGUUGUACAAAAACCAAAGGCAGCCUCUCUGAUUUAUAUGUGAAAAUAUAUUCUCUUGUACUUGACCUUAUUUUCUCUUUGAGUGUAAGACGGAUGCUCACUAGUUUUACACCACCACCCACUGCUUCAGUAAGAUUAUUUUCAACAGAUUCUGCAAGAAAUUUUCUGCUUUAAUUAAUACGGAAUUAUCUCAGAAAUUACCAGUGCAGACUCUUCAGAUUUAGCAUAGAACUAAAAUUAGUCAGUCUAGAGCAGAAGAAGCACAGAUUAAAAUUUAAAAAUACAUUAACCAUAUAAUUGUGAGUAAUUAUGAUGAUAUAUCCAGUAGUCAAGAUGGGGUCAACAGUGCUGGGCCGGCCACACGGGAUAUCAGAGUUUAGCUAGUCAGGAGCAGCCAGCCUGCUUGAAGGGUAGGAUUUCUUUCCCAUUUGCUGAGGGCAUGCAGCUUCUUUUAGGAAAUGCUCCAUUAUCCAUGGCUGGAAUGAUGAGACUUGUCUAGUGAUGAGGCUGUCCUUCUGGGGGGAAAAGGGGCAGGCCUGGAUGCAGUGCAGAAUUGAACUCAGCUCUGCCAUACAGCAAAUGAAGGCUCUCUCAACACUUGGCUGGUUUUAGUCAUGUCCCAGCUUCAUGCCUUCCCCACCCCUGGCUUUUUGCUUGUUUUUUAACCUACUAAGUUAUAUUUCUGAACAGUGUAUAGUGACUCUACUGAAGCUUUCACUUAUUUUCCUGUGGGUCUCCCUCCUCCUUCUAAAUAUGCCUAGCUCUAGAUGGGACUCAGAAACAAGAAAUCUUGAGUUCUCCCAUAAUAAUUUACAUGUCUGAUCUGAUGAUGAAUUGUAAAUCAGUUAAGCUUCAUGACUUUUGAACAUUCAUGCAAUUAUGAUACAAAGACAUUGAAAAGCAAUAUGCUAAUUUUGCCCCAUAUAUUUUGGUUACUAAAGGUCAUAUUAUCCACAUGAUUAUUUCUUAAUGCUCAUGUAUAGCAUUCUUAAUAAUUGUAAAGAAAAGAAAUCAAAGAAAAAUUCUUUGCCAAGAAACUAUACAAAACCUAAACAUAUUAGAAUAUUAAUGCUAAAAUAUUUUAGAAGUCCAUUAGCUAUAAAAAAUAAUUGAAACCUAGAAAAUGUAGGGAAAAUAUUGCAUUUCAAUAAAAUGAAAUAUAUUAAAAAAUAAAACACACAGUUGAAUGUCAUCCAGACAACCUUAAUUUGCUUCUGUAAUGAGAACUUGAGGGAAAUGUUGAGUUAAAUUUAGUUUAUUUCAGUAGAUUCUAUUUUUUUAACCCUUUAUGCCCAUAUAAAAAAAAAAAAUUUUGGUAGGUUUUAUCUAACCGAGUGCUGGAAGUGCUUUCUAACCACGUAGCUACAAGGUGAAGGAACUAAGGAAAGAGCAGAAUUGUUGCCUUCAUCUUUUUCACAGAGAGUACAAAACCUACUGAAAUUUUGUCAUUUAGUCUCUCAUUAUGGUACUGAGAGCUCAGAUCCAUUUUUAUGCAAUGGCACAAAACAGUUUGCUGCUUAAGUAUAUCUUGCAGAAGCUGAGGAACAUCUACACCACAAAUCAAUUGUAUCCAUGAUAUUAAGAGGGAAGAUGACAUAGAUCUUUAAAAAUUCCCAAAACUUGACAAAUGACCUUGAGUAAUUGUGAUAUAAUUUUGGGUCAGUGUGCUUUGACUGGUGGUCAGUCAAAAUGCAUCAGAGAUUUGUUUUCACAGCUGUAAUAAUUUUUUUUUGUGUUCAUGCUUAUAGCAGGUUGUAGCUAAAGAGCAGAAAACCUCAUAAAAUGUCUACAUUAGGAAAUCAAAGGGCUUUUCCUUUCUGUCUUUCCUCCCAAAUAACAUCUCUUUUUUUCAACAUUGAAAGGUCGUCUUUAUUAGAGGAAAUUUACCAGAGACUAGAGUGGUAUAAUUAUGCCUUGUGGAUGCUUUUUAAUCUUGCAUGAAUGCCUGUAGAAUUCUAGUGUCCACUUGGGGAGUUAUACCAUCAGAACUAUAGGGGCAUAAUUACACAGGUGAAUUCUGUAUUGAGACAAAUGCUUUAUGAAAAGGAAUUUUAUUUUUGCUCUUUACUUUUCAGCUUAUUCAUGUUCUGAACUAAAAGGAGGUGAUCAAAUCAAUGAAAAUAAUGAAAAUUCAAUGGUUACCAAGGGCUGGGGAAAUUGGAAAGUAAUAAAUAUAUAUGUUUCCUGAUAACA